UUUUCAGGCAUGCCCAGAUCUAAUAAUAGGAAAAAAAAACAAGAAUCUAUCAUUGAAAAUAAUAGAUUAUAAAACGAAAUUUCACUUUUGUUGUUCAACCGAGCGAAUAUGUAAUUUCCAUCUUUUUCCAAAAAAAAAUAUUCUCAAGAUACGUCAAAAAAUUAUUACUAUUUCAAACGAUAUGAUAAUUUCAAGCGAUAACUUUUAUAUAAUUUUUGCGAUAGAAAUACUCAAGGUCUUGUUAAA